ACGCUCCUACGGGGGGCAGCAGUGAGGAAUAUUGGUCAAUGGGCGCGAGCCUGAACCAGCCAAGUCGCGUGAGGGAGGACGGCCCUACGGGUUGUAAACCUCUUUUGCCGGGGAGCAACGGGCGUCACGUGUGGCGCCACUGAGAGUACCCGGAGAAAAAGCAUCGGCUGACUCCGUGCCAGCAGCCGCGGUAAUACGUAGGUGGCGAGCGUUAUCCGGAAUGAUUGGGCGUAAAGGGUGCGCAGGCGGUCCUGCAAGUCUGGAGUGAAACGCAUGAGCUCAACUCAUGCAUGGCUUUGGAAACU
rnacentral:rRNA from 1 species